rnacentral:rRNA from 1 species
UGCAGUCGAGGGGCAGCAUGGGCUUAGCUUGCUAAGCCCGAUGGCGACCGGCGCACGGGUGAGUAACACGUAUCCAACCUUCCGGUAACUCCGGUAUAGCCUUUCGAAAGAAAGAUUAAUCCCGGAUAGUAUGGUGAUUCCGCAUGGUUUUUCCAUUAAAGGAUUCCGGUUACCGAUGGGGAUGCGUUCCAUUAGGCAGUUGGCGGGGUAACGGCCCACCAAACCUACGAUGGAUAGGGGUUCUGAGAGGAAGGUCCCCCACAUUGGAACUGAGACACGGUCCAAACUCCUACGGGAGGCAGCAGUGAGGAAUAUUGGUCAAUGGGCGGAAGCCUGAACCAGCCAAGUAGCGUGAAGGAUGACUGCCCUAUGGGUUGUAAACUUCUUUUAUAAGGGAAUAAUUGCGGGUACGCGUACCCGUUUGCAUGUACCUUAUGAAUAAGGAUCGGCUAACUCCGUGCCAGCAGCCGCGGUAAUACGGAGGAUCCGAGCGUUAUCCGGAUUUAUUGGGUUUAAAGGGAGCGUAGGCGGGCGCUUAAGUCAGCUGUGAAAGUUUGGGGCUCAACCUUAAAAUUGCAGUUGAUACUGGGUGCCUUGAGUGCAGUAUAGGCAGGCGGAAUUCGUGGUGUAGCGGUGAAAUGCUUAGAUAUCACGAAGAACUCCUAUUGCGAAGGCAGCUUGCUGGAGUGUAACU